rnacentral:rRNA from 1 species
UACGGAGGGUGCAAGCGUUAUCCGGAUUUACUGGGUUUAAAGGGUGCGUAGGUGGGUUGGGAAGUCAGUGGUGAAAUACUUUCGCUUAACGAAGGAACUGCCAUUGAUACUAUCAAUCUUGAAUGUAGUGGAGGUAGGCGGAAUGCGUCAUGUAGCGGUGAAAUGCUUAGAUAUGACGCAGAACACCAAUUGCGAAGGCAGCUUGCUACACUACUAUUGACACUGAGGCACUGAAAGCGUGGGGAAUCAACAGGAGUUAGAACUGAUCCCAUGGUAGUUCCCA